ACAGCCUUCUGAAAGGAAGAUUAAUACAAGAUGGCAUCAUGAGUCCGCAUGUUCACAUGAUUAAAGGUAUUCCGGUAGACGAUGGGGAUGCGUUCCAUUAGAUAGUAGGCGGGGUAACGGCCCACCUAGUCUUCGAUGGAUAGGGGUUCUGAGAGGAAGGUCCCCCACAUUGGAACUGAGACACGGUCCAAACUCCUACGGGAGGCAGCAGUGAGGAAUAUUGGUCAAUGGGCGAGAGCCUGAACCAGCCAAGUAGCGUGAAGGAUGACUGCCCUAUGGGUUGUAAACUUCUUUUAUAAAGGAAUAAAGUCGGGUAUGCAUACCCGUUUGCAUGUACUUUACGAAUAAGGAUCGGCUAACUCCGUGCCAGCAGCCGCGGUAAUACGGAGGAUCCGAGCGUUAUCCGGAUUUAUUGGGUUUAAAGGGAGCGUAGAUGGAUGUUUAAGUCAGUUGUGAAAGUUUGCGGCUCAACCGUAAAAUUGCAGUUGAUACUGGAUAUCUUGAGUGCAGUUGAGGCAGGCGGAAUUCGUGGUGUAGCGGUGAGAUGCUUAGAUAUCACGAAGAACUCCGAUUGCGAAGGCAGCCUGCUAAGCUGCAACUGACAUUGAGGCUCGAAAGUGUGGGUAUCAAACAGGAUUAGAUACCCUGGUAGUCCACACGGUAAACGAUGAAUACUCGCUGUUUGCGAUAUACAGCAAGCGGCC
rnacentral:rRNA from 1 species